GACGAACGCUGGCGGCGUGCCUAACACAUGCAAGUCGAGCGGGGUCCAUCCGGUAGCAAUACCGGGGAAGACCUAGCGGCGAACGGGUGAGUAACACGUGAGAAACCUGCCCCCGAAGUCUGGGAUAACCCGAGGAAACUCGAGCUAAUACCGGAUGUCUUCUUCUGAUCGCAUGGUCGGAUGAAGAAAGAUUUAUCGCUUCGGGAGGGUCUCGCGGCCUAUCAGCUAGUUGGCGGGGUCACGGCCCACCAAGGCGUUCGACGGGUAGCUGGUCUGAGAGGACGAUCAGCCACACUGGGACUGAGACACGGCCCAGACUCCUACGGGAGGCAGCAGUGGGGAAUACUGCGCAAUGGGCGAAAGCCUGACGCAGCAACGCCGCGUGCGGGAUGAAGGCCUCGGUUGUAA
rnacentral:rRNA from 1 species